UAGAGUUUGAUCCUGGCUCAGAGCGAACGCUGGCGGCAGGCUUAACACAUGCAAGUCGAGCGGGCGUAGCAAUACGUCAGCGGCAGACGGGUGAGUAACGCGUGGGAACAUACCUUUUGGUUCGGAACAACACAGGGAAACUUGUGCUAAUACCGGAUAAGCCCUUACGGGGAAAGAUUUAUCGCCGAAAGAUUGGCCCGCGUCUGAUUAGCUAGUUGGUGAGGUAAUGGCUCACCAAGGCGACGAUCAGUAGCUGGUCUGAGAGGAUGAUCAGCCACAUUGGGACUGAGACACGGCCCAAACUCCUACGGGAGGCAGCAGUGGGGAAUAUUGGACAAUGGGCGCAAGCCUGAUCCAGCCAUGCCGCGUGAGUGAUGAAGGCCCUAGGGUUGUAAGGCUCUUUUGUGCGGGAAGAUAAUGACGGUACCGCRAGAAUAAGCCCCGGCUAACUCCGUGCCAGCCGCCGCGGKAAUUC
rnacentral:rRNA from 1 species